rnacentral:rRNA from 1 species
AGAGUUUGAUCAUGGCUCAGAUUGAACGCNNGGCGGCAUGCCUAACACAUGCAAGUCGAGCGGCAGCAUGAUGUGUAGCAAUACACAUUGAUGGCGAGCGGCGGACGGGUGAGUAAUGCAUGGGAAUCUGCCCAGUAGCGGGGGACAACCCGGAGAAAUCCGGGCUAAUACCGCAUACGCCCUACGGGGGAAAGCGGGGGACCGAAAGGCCUCGCACUAUUGGAGGAGCCCAUGUCCGAUUAGCUAGUUGGUGAGGUAACGGCUCACCAAGGCAACGAUCGGUAGCUGGUCUGAGAGGACGAUCAGCCACACCGGAACUGAGACACGGUCCGGACUCCUACGGGAGGCAGCAGUGGGGAAUAUUGGACAAUGGGGGAAACCCUGAUCCAGCAAUGCCGCGUGGGUGAAGAAGGCCUGCGGGUUGUAAAGCCCUUUCGAUGAGGACAAAACGCGUCGCACUAACACUGCGAUGUUUUGAUUUAACUCGUUAAAGAAGCACCGGCUAACUCUGUGCCAGCAGCCGCGGUAAUACAGAGGGUGCGAGCGUUAAUCGGAAUUACUGGGCGUAAAGCGCACGUAGGCGGCUUGGUAAGUUGGAUGUGAAAUCCCCGGGCUUAACUUGGGAAUUGCAUUCAAGACUGCCUUGCUAGAGUGUGGGAGAGGGAAGCGGAAUUCCAGGUGUAGCGGUGAAAUGCGUAGAUAUCUGGAGGAACAUCAGUGGCGAAGGCGGCUUUCUGGCCCAACACUGACGCUGAGGUGCGAAAGCGUGGGGAGCAAACAGGAUUAGAUACCCUAGUAGUCC